GAUGAAGAACGCAGCGAAAUGCGAUACGUAAUGUGAAUUGCAGAAUUCAGUGAAUCAUCGAGUCUUUGCACGCACAUUGCGCCCCCUGGUAUUCCGGGGGGCAUGCCUGUCCGAGCGUCAUUGCUGCCCUCAAGCACGGCUUGUGUGUUGGGCCUCCGUCCUCCUCCCGGGGGACGGGCCCGAAAGGCAGCGGCGGCACCGCGUCCGGUCCUCGAGCGUAUGGGGCUUCGUCACCCGCUCUUGUAGGCCCGGCCGGCGCUUGCCGACACAUCAAUCUUUUUUCCAGGUUGACCUCGGAUCAGGUAGGGAUACCCGCUGAACUUAAGCAUAUCAAUAAGCGGAGGA
rnacentral:misc_RNA from 1 species